UCCCAUGUUGUGUUCAGUUGGCAAACUUA
rnacentral:piRNA from 1 species